GGGCAGGUUGCUGACUUCGGGGGACGAUAACGGCGUCGAGCGGCGGACGGGUGAGUAAUGCCUAGGAAAUUGCCCUGAUGUGGGGGAUAACCAUUGGAAACGAUGGCUAAUACCGCAUGAUGCCUACGGGCCAAAGAGGGGGACCUUCGGGCCUCUCGCGUCAGGAUAUGCCUAGGUGGGAUUAGCUAGUUGGUGAGGUAAGGGCUCACCAAGGCGACGAUCCCUAGCUGGUCUGAGAGGAUGAUCAGCCACACUGGAACUGAGACACGGUCCAGACUCCUACGGGAGGCAGCAGUGGGGAAUAUUGCACAAUGGGCGCAAGCCUGAUGCAGCCAUGCCGCGUGUGUGAAGAAGGCCUUCGGGUUGUAAAGCACUUUCAGUCGUGAGGAAGGUGGUGUAGUUAAUAGCUGCAUUAUUUGACGUUAGCGACAGAAGAAGCACCGGCUAACUCCGUGCCAGCAGCCGGGCUAAUACACAGCUCAUCAUUCCAAAUUACAUUG
rnacentral:rRNA from 1 species